rnacentral:rRNA from 1 species
AGUGAACGCUGGCGGUAGGCCUAACACAUGCAAGUCGAACGGCAGCACAGUAAGGGCUUGCUCUUACGGGUGGCGAGUGGCGGACGGGUGAGGAAUACAUCGGAAUCUACUUUUUCGUGGGGGAUAACGUAGGGAAACUUACGCUAAUACCGCAUACGACCUACGGGUGAAAGCAGGGGAUCUUCGGACCUUGCGCGAUUGAAUGAGCCGAUGUCGGAUUAGCUAGUUGGCGGGGUAAAGGCCCACCAAGGCGACGAUCCGUAGCUGGUCUGAGAGGAUGAUCAGCCACACUGGAACUGAGACACGGUCCAGACUCCUACGGGAGGCAGCAGUGGGGAAUAUUGGACAAUGGGCGCAAGCCUGAUCCAGCCAUACCGCGUGGGUGAAGAAGGCCUUCGGGUUGUAAAGCCCUUUUGUUGGGAAAGAAAAGCAGCAGGUUAAUACCCCGCUGUUCUGACGGUACCCAAAGAAUAAACACCGGCUAACUUCGU